AAGAAGACUAGAAGCACUGGGUAAAUGCACGACUUGUUCUUGCCUUCUAAAGCAGAGAGGAGCUUUUGUGGGUAGUUCCUACAGGGAUACAUGGUAGAAAAUUCACCAAACCCAGUGCUGGAGUGACAUGCUCUGGAGUCAGAAGACAGCGAAAAGAGAAGCAGAAGCCCCGGUGGCAAGAGUCUGAAGAAUUUUUUUUUUAACAGCAGGAAGGAUGACUGUAGCCUGUGGAUUGUACUGCAGUAGGAAACUGUCCUAGCAAGGCUCCACUUUGCCCCAGCUUCAAGCUGGAAAGGAGGAGAACAUGAAACAUUGCUUGAAGACAAUGGCCGAGACAGCAGGUCCCACCCUGCACAGCCACCAGCAUCUCUCCCCUCAGCCCUGUCUCCUCUUCUGCAGUUGGGAUCUGCACAUUUAAGCCUGAAAUUGUCCUGUGAAGUGAAGUAUGAUCGGACAGCCUCUUUUCAGCUUUUAUGACAAUGGAGACAGAGGAAUUGUGGCUCUUGCCAAGGUCACAGGAUUGGAAUACAGAGCCAAGCCACCCCAGGACAUGCAAGAGCCUCAGAAGGGAAAAAAGCCCAGCAGGAAGGGAGAACAAGUAGCCUCUGUCCUGAAGUUGUAACAGCCAGGGGCCAGGAUGGAGGAGGAGGACCCCAUAAUCUGCCCAUCUGGGACUUGGCAGGGGACCUGGGAAAAUGUACCCCAACCCAUCCCUUAAGGGCCUUUGUCUUUGGCCCAUUGGCCUAGCA
rnacentral:lncRNA from 1 species